UACGUAGGGGGCGAGCGUUGUCCGGAGUUACUGGGCGUAAAGCGCACGCAGGCGGUCUGCUAAGUUUGGAGUGACAGUUGGUGGCUCAACCACCAAAGUGCUUUGAAAACUGACAGACUUGAGGGCUUCAGAGGGACACGGAAUUCCGGGUGGAGUGGUGAAAUGCGUAGAGAUCCGGAGGAACACCGAAGGCGAAGGCAGUGUCCUGGGGAGUACCUGACGCUCAGGUGCGAAAGCUAGGGGAGCGAACAGG
rnacentral:rRNA from 1 species